rnacentral:rRNA from 1 species
GAUGAACGCUGGCGGCGUGCCUAAUACAUGCAAGUCGAGCGAACAGACGAGGAGCUUGCUCCUCUGACGUUAGCGGCGGACGGGUGAGUAACACGUGGAUAACCUACCUAUAAGACUGGGAUAACUUCGGGAAACCGGAGCUAAUACCGGAUAAUAUAUUGAACCGCAUGGUUCAAUAGUGAAAGACGGUUUUGCUGUCACUUAUAGAUGGAUCCGCGCCGCAUUAGCUAGUUGGUAAGGUAACGGCUUACCAAGGCAACGAUGCGUAGCCGACCUGAGAGGGGGAUCGGCCACACUGGAACUGAGACACGGUCCAGGCUCCUACGGGAGGCAGCAGUAGGGAAUCUUCCGCAAUGGGCGAAAGCCUGACGGAGCAACGCCGCGUGAGUGAUGAAGGUCUUCGGAUCGUAAAACUCUGUUAUUAGGGAAGAACAAAUGUGUAAGUAACUAUGCACGUCUUGACGGUACCUAAUCAGAAAGCCACGGCUAACUACGU